AGACUAAGACGGAGGCUACGGGACUAAGACAGAGGCUACGGGACUAAGACAGAGGCUACGGGACUAAGACAGAGGUUACGGGACUAAGACAGGACUCGAGAGGAACUACAGGGGCUAGACGAGAAAACCAAACAAACCAGAAAACUCGGAGGGGAACCGAAACCUAGAACUAAACUAUAAAACAAAGCAAAAAACAGGAAAACGAGGGCAGGUUCAGCUAAAACAAAUGAAAAACUAGAUAACUAAAGCUAGAAUUAAGAACACGGGAAAAACAGGAAAUCUAAGGUAAAUAACUAGAAUUUAGAUGCACAACGCAAGACUAAAGGUAAACCUAGAACAAUAGAACUGAG